rnacentral:lncRNA from 1 species
ACACACACAAAACGAUGAGACAAAACAUAAGAAAUACAAGAAAGAGAUAAAACAUGAUGAUCUCUGAAUUUUCGUCAAUCAGCGGCCUUCAUGUCACCAUCUCCGAUCAUUUUUUUACCACAGUCACGGCAAAUGAAGAAGUUGCAUGAUUCACAGUGAAAUCCAGGCAAUUCAUACCUAUCAUUACGACAAAGGUUGCAGCGGCGUUUUGUGGUGAGAAGUUGAGAGACAAGAGGGUGUGGGUGAGCUGCCGCAUUCACAUAUUCAUUUCCAAACCUGAUGUUACUAUACCAACCGAAUCUGGUUUUAAAGCAACGAGGAUGGAAGGAUAUAUCGCAGUGGCGGCAGUGAUACAUCCAACUCUUGGGAUUCAUUUCUCUUUCACAUUUAUCACAGUAGAAUUCACCUGGAUGGUUGAGAUUGGCGUUGUAUGUCAAUGGCAGCGGGUGGUG